rnacentral:rRNA from 1 species
UACAGAGUUGGCAAGCGUUGUUCGGAAUUACUGGGCGUAAAGGGCGCGUAGGCGGCUUGGUCAGUCCCGUGUGAAAUCCCUCGGCUCAACUGAGGAACUGCACGGGAAACUGCCUGGCUUGAGUUCGGGAGAGGGAAGCGGAAUUCCGGGUGUAGCGGUGAAAUGCGUAGAUAUCCGGAGGAACACCGGUGGCGAAGGCGGCUUCCUGGACCGACACUGACGCUGAGGCGCGAAAGCUAGGGGAGCAAACGGG